rnacentral:rRNA from 1 species
AUGGAUAUAAAGCUACUCAAUUGGAAUGUCAGGGGGCUGCAUAAUCCUGCGAAGAGAAGAUCUCUGACAAAGCUGAUUGCGGAGCUGAGCUGUAACAUUGUUUGUCUGCAGGAGACGAAAUUGGAACACUUUGACAAGAUGAUCGUCUCAGAAGCUGUGGGGUCAAGAUUCUCUGAUAGCUUCAUUUUCAAGCCUGCGUGUGGUUCAAAAGGGGGCAUUUUAAUUGCUUGCUCCGGUGAUUUUUCCAUCGAUAGGCUGUUGUCAGCCCCAGAUGAGUUCUCACUUACGGCCACGAUCUCUGAUAAGUCGAAUAAUGCCUCUUGGACCAUCACGGGGGUGUAUGGACCACAGAUGAUUGAAGACAAGCGUCGUUUCCUAGCUGAGUUGACUGCCCUGAAAUCUUUGGUUUUGAAAGAAUGA